GAUGAACGCUGGCGGCGUGCCUAAUACAUGCAAGUCGAGCGAACAGACGAGGAGCUUGCUCCUCUGACGUUAGCGGCGGACGGGUGAGUAACACGUGGAUAACCUACCUAUAAGACUGGGAUAACUUCGGGAAACCGGAGCUAAUACCGGAUAAUAUAUUGAACCGCAUGGUUCAAUAGUGAAAGACGGUUUUGCUGUCACUUAUAGAUGGAUCCGCGCCGCAUUAGCUAGUUGGUAAGGUAACGGCUUACCAAGGCGACGAUGCGUAGCCUACCUGAGAGGGUGAUCGGCCACACUGUAACUGAGACACGGUCCAGACUCCUACGGGAGGCAGCAGUAGGGAAUCUUCCGCAAUGGGCGAAAGCCUGACGGAGCAACGCCGCGUGAGUGAUGAAGGUCUUCGGAUCGUAAAACUCUGUUAUUAGGGAAGAACAAAUGUGUAAGUAACUAUGCACGUCUUGACGGUACCUAAUCAGAAAGCCACGGCUAGCUACGUG
rnacentral:rRNA from 1 species